rnacentral:tRNA from 1 species
GGUUGGCUGGCUUAGUCAGUAGAGCAUGGGGCUCUUGAUCCCAGGGUCGUGAGUUCAAGCCCCACGUUAGGCA